ensembl:lincRNA
GCGGGGGCGGAAGAGCGAAUGGAAAGGGGAAGCGGGAGACUCUGGGAGGAAGGGGCCGCGGGAUGGGCCCGGAGGGGAGGGGGUGUGGCGAGGAAGAGCAGGGAGGGACCACGUGCCCCCGGAGCAGGGGGGAGGAAGCGAAAGAGAAGUAGGAGGCUUAAAGGAAGGCGGGAAGGGGAAGGGGGAAGGAGACGCCCGGGAACGAGUUGGUUUGUUCUUGUUGUAGGACCCGCCCCAGAGGUCUGGAGUCCCCCGGCCAAAGCUCAAUCAAAUUUUCAUCAAGAUGCAUGACCUCAGAGAGAUACAGACCAAGACUCAAUGCAGAUAAGGAAAGAAAUUUGAAAUCUGUAGGCAAAUGGUUAAGUACAAAAACAUAAUCUUCGCUUUUUCUUUAUUUCUGGCAGUACUGCAAGGCAUGCGGGAUCUUAGUGCCCUGACCAGGGGAACCCGUGGUCCAUGCACUGGAAGUAUGGAAUCUUAACCACUGGACUGCCAGGGAAUUCCCAAUCUUCAUUAUUUAGAAAAAAGGGACUUUUAGUAUCAUCCAUACUAGUAGUGAUACCAAAAGCUUGACCUCUGUAUAGCAGUGCCAAAUCAAAUCUUGAGACAGAGUUUUGGGUGAAGUACAAAAGAAUAGCUUUGCCAGGCAAAGGGGGAAACAUAGAGGGCUCCUGUGUCCCUCUACCAGGCUCCUCCAUCCGUGAGAUUCUCCAGGCAAGAAUACUGGAGUGGGUUGCCGUUUCCUUCUCCAGGGGAUCUUCCUGACCCAGGGAUCGAACCCAGGUCUCCUGCAUUGCAGGCAGACGCUUUAACUUCUGGGCCAUCAGGGAAGCCAUUGUUUUUCAACCCAGGAGGAUUUGAUAAGGAGUUUUAUAGUAAAGGGAUCGAACCCAGGUCUCCUGCGUUGUGGGCAAACACUGUACCAUCUGAGCCACCAGGGAAGUCCCUUAAUGGUAAGAGUUCAAUGGUGGGGUGGCUGAUAAGAUUAAGAUGUGUGUGCAAGGCUAGCACUCUAAUCUCAUCUCAGCUGGUCUCCUAAUUUUGAUGAGAUUUUCUGAACCUCUGAUGAGGUUCCUUUAAUCUUCUCAGGUGGUUUCUUGGCUGCUCCUCCCUUAAUUUACACAUACACACACACACAGAAGUCACUUGGUCAUGUCCAACUCUUUGUGACCCCAUGGAUUGUAGCCCACCAGGCUCCUCGGUCCAUGGGAUUUUCCAGGCGUGAAUACUGGAGUUGGUUGCUGUUUCCUUCUCCCUUGAUUAACAACUGUUCAAAUCUGACCUUUGGAAUUCAAAGAAGAUCAUGAAGGCUAAAAUCCAUUCCCUACAAACAAGAAAUGGGAGACAGAAAGGCUUCCAUGCCCAGGAGCCCCACUGGGUCCUGCUUGGUUUCAGUAGCCAGGUAAUUUUGAAAAAUUCCAGACAACGUUUCCAUUAUUCAUUUGCUUAUGUCAUCAUAAAUUUGAUGUCAUUUCUGACCAUUAUAUACAGCAAAAUUCACUUUCGUUGAACUAUUCCUCCCCUUCAAAAGAGAAAAAGUCACACACGCUAAUAACCUUAAGAAAGAUCCAUUAAUUUUUGUAUUGAGCACUCACUAUUCUAAAUAACUCAGCUAGGCCCAGUGUGAACAGAAAGAUGUAUCACAUAUACUGCCUGCCAAGGAGACAUUUAAAAUCUCUGAUCAGGAACUUUAGUUUGAAAAGCAGCAGUGUGUUAUAUUGUCUUUUAAGUUUCAUUUAAAGGCACUAAGAAAAAUUUUUUUCUAUUUCUUUAAUUUUGUAUCUAUAUGACAUGAUGGAUUUUCACUAAACUUAUUUGAUAAUAACUUUAUGAUGUGUGCAAGUCAAAUCAUUAUGCUGUAUACUUCAAUAUAACUAGAAAAAAAAAACCCAAGUGUUUAUUUUGCC